rnacentral:rRNA from 1 species
CCUACGGGAGGCAGCAGUGGGGAAUAUUGCACAAUGGGGGAAACCCUGAUGCAGCGACGCCGCGUGAGUGAAGAAGCGUUUCGGCGCGUAAAGCUCUGUCAGCGGGGAAGAAACACGGUUCGCGAGAGCCGCGGACGGUACCCGACCAAGAAGCCCCGGCUAACUACGUGCCAGCAGCCGCGGUAAUACGUAGGGGGCAAGCGUUAUCCGGAUUUACUGGGUGGAAAGGGAGCGUAGACGGCAGCGCAAGUCUGGAGUGAAAUCCCAUGGCUUAACCAUGGAACUGCUUUGGAAACUGUGCAGCUGGAGUGCAGGAGAGGUAAGCGGAAGUCCUAGUGUAGCGGUGAAAUGCGUAGAUAUUAGGAGGAACACCAGUGGCGAAGGCGGCUUACUGGACUGUAACUGACGUUGAGGCUCGAAAGCGUGGGGAGCAAACAGGAUUAGAUACCCGUGUAGUC